GACGAACGCUGGCGGCGUGCUUAACACAUGCAAGUCGAACGGAAAGGCCCUGCUUUUGUGGGGUGCUCGAGUGGCGAACGGGUGAGUAACACGUGAGUAACCUGCCCUUGACUUUGGGAUAACUUCAGGAAACUGGGGCUAAUACCGGAUAGGAGCUCCUGCUGCAUGGUGGGGGUUGGAAAGUUUCGGCGGUUGGGGAUGGACUCGCGGCUUAUCAGCUUGUUGGUGGGGUAGUGGCUUACCAAGGCUUUGACGGGUAGCCGGCCUGAGAGGGUGACCGGCAACAUGGGAAUGGGGAUAGGGCCCAGACUCCUACGGGAGGCAGCGGUGGGGAAAAUUGAACAAGGGGCGAAGGCUGAAUGCGGCAACGCGGGGUGGGGGAGAAGGGCUUUGGGGUUGUAAACCGUUUUCGCUGGGAACGAAGCGGGAGUGACGGUAAUGGUUAAGGAAGCACCGGUUAAUUAGGU
rnacentral:rRNA from 1 species